rnacentral:rRNA from 1 species
GCGAUUUCGGUCAAAUCAUGUAAAAUCUUAGUGGCGGACGGGUGAGUAACGCGUGGGUAACCUGCCUUACACUGGGGGAUAACACUUAGAAAUAGGUGCUAAUACCGCAUAAGCGCACGAAGCCGCAUGGAUUUGUGUGAAAAACUCCGGUGGUGUAAGAUGGACCCGCGUCUGAUUAGCUUGUUGGCGGGGUAACGGCCCACCAAGGCGACGAUCAGUAGCCGGCCUGAGAGGGUGGACGGCCACAUUGGGACUGAGACACGGCCCAAACUCCUACGGGAGGCAGCAGUGGGGGAUAUUGGACAACGGGGGGAACCCUGAUCCAGCGACGCCGCGUGAGUGAAGAAGUAUUUCGGUAUGUAAAGCUCUGUCAGCAGGGAAGAAAGAAAUGACGGUACCUGACCAAGAAGCCCCGGCUAACUACGUGCCAGCAGCCGCGGUAAUACGUAGGGGGCAAGCGUUAUCCGGAAUUACUGGGUGUAAAGGGAGCGUAGACGGCGAUGCAAGUCUGAAGUGAAAGCCCGGGGCUCAACCCCGGGACUGCUUUGGAAACUGUAUGGCUGGAGUGCUGGAGAGGCAAGCGGAAUUCCUAGUGUAGCGGUGAAAUGCGUAGAUAUUAGGAAGAACACCAGUGGCGAAGGCGGCUUGCUGGACAGUAACUGACGUUGAGGCUCGAAAGCGUGGGGAGCAAACAGGAUUAGAUACCCUGGUAGUCCACGCCGUAAACGAUGAUUACUAGGUGUCGG